AUGCACGCUGGCGGCGUGCCUAAUACAUGCAAGUCGAGCGAACAGACGAGGAGCUUGCUCCUCUGACGUUAGCGGCGGACGGGUGAGUAACACGUGGAUAACCUACCUAUAAGACUGGGAUAACUUCGGGAAACCGGAGCUAAUACCGGAUAAUAUAUUGAACCGCAUGGGUCAAUAGUGAAAGACGGUUUUGCUGUCACUUAUAGAUGGAUCCGCGCCGCAUUAGCUAGUUGGUAAGGUAACGGCUUACCAAGGCAACGAUGCGUAGCCGACCUGAGAGGGUGAUCGGCCACACUGGAACUGAGACACGGUCCAGACUCCUACGGGAGGCAGCAGUAGGGAAUCUUCCGCAAUGGGCGAAAGCCUGACGGAGCAACGCCGCGUGAGUGAUGAAGGUCUUCGGAUCGUAAAACUCUGUUAUUAGGGAAGAACAAAUGUGUAAGUAACUAUGCACGUCUUGACGGUACCUAAUCAGAAAGCCACGGCUAACUACGUG
rnacentral:rRNA from 1 species